GAUGAACGCUGGCGGCGUGCCUAAUACAUGCAAGUCGAGCGAACGGACGAGAAGCUUGCUUCUCUGAUGUUAGCGGCGGACGGGUGAGUAACACGUGGAUAACCUACCUAUAAGACUGGGAUAACUUCGGGAAACCGGAGCUAAUACCGGAUGAUAUUUUGAACCGCAUGGUUCAAAAGUGAAAGACGGUCUUGCUGUCACUUAUAGAUGGAUCCGCGCUGCAUUAGCUAGUUGGUAAGGUAACGGCUUACCAAGGCAACGAUGCAUAGCCGACCUGAGAGGGUGAUCGGCCACACUGGAACUGAGACACGGUCCAGACUCCUACGGGAGGCAGCAGUAGGGAAUCUUCCGCAAUGGGCGAAAGCCUGACGGAGCAACGCCGCGUGAGUGAUGAAGGUCUUCGGAUCGUAAAACUCUGUUAUUAGGGAAGAACAUAUGUGUAGUAACUGUGCACAUCUUGACGGUACCUAAUCAGAAAGCCACGGCUAACUACGUG
rnacentral:rRNA from 1 species